rnacentral:rRNA from 1 species
UUCCGGCGUUGAAUCCAAUUGAACCGCAGGCUUCACCCCUUGUGGUGCUCCCCCGCCAAUUCCUUUAAGUUUCAUACUUGCGUACGUACUUCCCAGGCGGCAAACUUAACGGCUUCCCUGCAGCACUGCAUUGGCCACAAGCCAAUGCAUCACUGAGUUUGCAUAGUUUACAGCUGGGACUACCCGGGUAUCUAAUCCGGUUUGCUCCCCCAGCUUUCAUCCCUCACCGUCGAACGUGUUCUGGUAGACCGCCUUCGCCACAGGUGGUCAUCAAUAGAUCAAAGGAUUUUACCCCUUCCUACCGAGUACCGUCUACCUCUCCCACUUCCUAGUUAUGCAGUAUUCCCGGCAGCCCAUACGUUAAGCGUAUGGAUUUAACCGAAAACUUACAAAACGAGCUACGGAUGCUUUAGGCCCAAUAAUCAUCCUGACCACUUGGGGUGCUGGUUUUACCGCGGCGGCUGACACCAGAACUUGCCCACCCCUUAUUCGUUAGUGUUUCUAGGACUGACAAAAGGUUUCUUUAGCAGAAACCACUCGGAUUAACCUUGUCGUGCUUUCGCACAUUGCAAAGUUUUCUCGCCUGCUGCGCCCCAUAGGGCCUGGGUCCGUGUCUCAGUACCCAUCUCCGGGCCACUCCUCUCAGAGCCCGUACCUGUAAUAGUCUUGGUGGGCCAUUACCUCACCAACAAACUGAUAGGCCGCAGUCCCAUCCUAUGGCGAUAAAUCAUUUGAGACAUAAACCAUUCCAAGUAUAAUGUUCUAUCGGGCAUUAUUCUCAGUUUCCCGAGAUUAUUCCCGUCCAUAGGGUAGAUUGACUACGCGUUACUGAGCCGUCUGCCUUGUAUUGCUACAAUGACUCGCAUGGCUUAGUAUCAAUCCGAUAGCAGUCAGGUCCGGCAGGAUCNACCGGAA